GACGUAGGAUGCAAGCGUUUGUCCGGAUUUAUUGGGCGUAAAGAGUUCGUAGGCUGUUUGUUAAGUCUGAUGUUAAAGACUGGGGCUCAACCUCGGAAAUGCAUUGGAUACUGGCAGACUGGAGUGCAGUAGAGGCUAGUGGAAUUCCCAGUGUAGCGGUGAAAUGCGUAGAUAUUGGGAAGAACACCGGUGGCGUAGGCGACUAGCUGGGCUGUAACUGACGCUGAGGAACGAAAGCCAGGGGAGCGAAUGGG
rnacentral:rRNA from 1 species